AGUAAGUAUAGUUUUUGUUUUUUUGGAAGAUUAAACAAAAUUGACCGCCCCUAUUUCAAAAGAAACCUCACCAUUUCUUUUUUACAGCCCUCGAUUCGCCAUUUGCAAUUGUAAAGUCAAAGGGCAGGCUGGCAGAAGGUACAGGGACGACUGCGGCCGUUUGGUAGUUUUCCUCCUCCCACGGGGGGAACCAUAGGGUUCAACACGGCUCACUUUCCCUAAGACCAAGCAUCGUGACUGUUUAAGGCACAGAAGGGCUGGCCUCAGAGCUCCAAGUCCCAGGCCGGGGUCUGAUCUUGCCUAUCUCACGCUCGGCAAACCCGGGGGGAGCCCUAAACUCCGGCAGCAUCCUCACCAGUGGCUGCGCUCCCGGACGGCGCCCCCGGCGCCUCGGGUGCGGGAGUGCCCCGGACCGAGCCCGCGACUGCGUCCCCCGCCUGCAGGCUGGGGUGGGGGGCGCCGGACCCCCUGGGAGGCCGGGGACCCCUGCUCCUUCCCGGCCCCCCUCCCCACUUCCCCGAACUCCGGGCGCAGCCGGCCGGGGGCGCGGGCACUCACCGCGAUCAUCAUCGUGUCCUCUCCCUGAAACUUCGCGAGGUACUUGUCGCUGCGGGUCACCUCGGACUCUUUGAGAGGUCUGAAGCGACACAUCACUUUGCUGUUGCACUCCGCCGGGUCCACCAUCUAAUUCGGCGCCGGGGCCGGAGGCCGGGAGCCACUCCCCGUUGCUCAGGCUUGGAGGACGCGGGCCGCCCCGGGUUCACAGGGCUCGCGGGGGCCGAGGCUCCCCGGCGGGGGUGUUCGGGGCGUCGGGGACCCCGCGGGCAGCGCCCGCGCCGGCACCGUCGUCCGCAGGCUCACUUCCGACCCAUCAUGGCAGCCAUGGCGGCGGCGCCGGGCGGAGCGGCGGCGGCUCUCAGCUCUCCUCGCCGGCAUGGCAGCUGCGGGCUGCGGGGUUCUGGGGACGGCACGGCGGCCCUCCUUCCUCCUCCACCAGAGAUCAGACCAGGCCCCCCGUCGGCUCGCCGGCUGCCUCCCGAUAGCUCCUGAGGCGCGGACGGUGGGUAGGCGGCGGGAUGGGCUGUGGGCUGAAAG
rnacentral:lncRNA from 1 species